rnacentral:rRNA from 1 species
CCUACGGGGGGCUGCAGUGAGGAAUAUUGGUCAAUGGGCGCGAGCCUGAACCAGCCAAGUCGCGUGAAGGAUGACUGCCCUACGGGUUGUAAACUUCUUUUAUAAGGGAGUAAAGUGUGGCACGUGUGCCUUUUUGUAUGUACUCUAUGAAUAAGGAUCGGCUAACUCCGUGCCAGCAGCCGCGGUAAUACGGAGGAUCCGCGCGUUAUCCGGAUUUCUUGGGUUUAAAGGGCGUGUAGCCGGGUAGACAUGUCAGAUGUGAAAUCCUGCGGCUUAACCGCAGAACUGCAUUUGAAACUGUUGAUCUUGAGUACUGGAGAGGCAGACGGAAUGCCUAGUGUAGCGGUGAAAUGCGUAGAUAUUAGGAGGAACACCAGUGGCGAAGGCGGUCUGCUGGACAGCAACUGACGGUGAGGCGCGAAAGCGUGGGGAGCAAACAGGAUUAGAUACCCUGGUAGUC